UACGUAGGGUGCAAGCGUUAAUCGGAAUUACUGGGCGUAAAGCGUGCGCAGGCGGCUUUGCAAGACAGAUGUGAAAUCCCCGGGCUCAACCUGGGAAUGGCAGUGGAUACUGGGAGGCUGGAGUGCGGUAGAGGGUAGUGGAAUUCCCGGUGUAGCGGUGAAAUGCGUAGAGAUCGGGGAGGAACACCAGUGGCGAAGGCGGCUACCUGGACCAGCACUGACACUGAGGCACGAAAGCGUGGGGAGCAAACAGGAUUAGAAACCCCGGG
rnacentral:rRNA from 1 species